rnacentral:piRNA from 1 species
UAUUUUUGCAAUAGUGAUGAA